UGGAUCAGUGAUGACUACUGGUGGCAAAUGAGUCCUAUAUGAUGACUACAUGUUGAACUAUAGGUCCAA